UACAGAGGGUGCGAGCGUUAAUCGGAAUUACUGGGCGUAAAGGGUGCGUAGGUGGUUUAGUAAGUUAGAUGUGAAAUUCCUGGGCUUAACCUGGGGACUGCGUCUGAUACUGCGAAGCUAGAGUACUGUAGAGGAAAGUGGAAUUUCCGGUGUAGCAGUGAAAUGCGUAGAUAUCAGGAGGAACACCUGCGGUGUAGACGGCUUACUGGACCAUAACUGACGCUGAGGCACGAAAGCGUGGGUAGCAAACAGG
rnacentral:rRNA from 1 species